AUACCUUUCUGGGCCUUUUGGCUAAGAUCAGGCGUAGAAUCUGUUCUUAUCAGUUUAAUAUUUGAUACGUGGGCCAAUGGUACACAAUGAUAUUAAAUUAAAUUUUCAAGAGUGAAGACCCACCACAAGUGCUUGCACUUGGGAUCUUCAAGCAAGGUCCAUGCCUUGCGCUACUGCAAGGGUCUGACACUCCUC